rnacentral:rRNA from 1 species
GACGAACGCUGGCGGCGUGCUUAACACAUGCAAGUCGAACGGAGUGGCGAACGGGUGAGUAACACGUGGGUGACCUGCCCUGCACUUCGGGAUAAGCCUGGGAAACUGGGUCUAAUACCGGAUAGUGUGGGAUGGGCCCGCGGCCGAUCAGCUUGUUGGUGGGGUAAUGGCCUACCAAGGCGGCGACGGGUAGCCGGCCUGAGAGGGUGGACGGCCACCUGGGGGCUGAGGCACGGACCAGACUCCUACGGGAGGCAGUAGUGGGGAAUAUGGCACAAUGGGCGGAAGCGAGAUGAAGAGACGCAGCGUGGGGGAUGACGGACUUCGAGUUGUAAACACCUUUCACCAUAGACGCGGUAGAUGGAGAAAAAGCACCGGCUAACUACGUGCCAGCAGCCGCGGUAAUAC